CCCUUUGUGAACAUACCUUAACUGUUGCUUCGGCGGGUAGGCGUCCCCUAAAAAGGACGUCUCCCGGCCCUCUCCCGUCCGCGGGUGGGGCGCCCGCCGGAGGAUAACCAAACUCUGAUUUAACGACGUUUCUUCUGAGUGACACAAGCAAAUAAUCAAAACUUUUAACAACGGAUCUCUUGGUUCUGGCAUCGAUGAAGAACGCAGCGAAAUGCGAUAAGUAAUGUGAAUUGCAGAAUUCAGUGAAUCAUCGAAUCUUUGAACGCACAUUGCGCCCGCCAGCAUUCUGGCGGGCAUGCCUGUUCGAGCGUCAUUUCAACCCUCAAGCUCUGCUUGGUGUUGGGGCUCUACGGUCGACGUAGGCCCUUAAAGGUAGUGGCGGACCCUCUCGGAGCCUCCUUUGCGUAGUAACAUUUCGUCUCGCAUUGGGAUUCGGAGGGACUCUAGCCGUAAAACCCCC
rnacentral:rRNA from 1 species